ACGGGUGAGUAAUACAUCGGAACGUAUCCUGGAGUGGGGGAUAGCCCGGCGAAAGCCGGAUUAAUACCGCAUACACUCUGAGGAGGAAAGCGGGGGACCUUCGGGCCUCGCGCUCAAGGGGCGGCCGAUGGCGGAUUAGGUAGUUGGUGGGGUAAAGGCCUACCAAGCCGACGAUCCGUAGCUGGUCUGAGAGGACGACCAGCCACACUGGGACUGAGACACGGCCCAGACUCCUACGGGAGGCAGCAGUGGGGAAUUUUGGACAAUGGGGGCAACCCUGAUCCAGCAAUGCCGCGUGUGUGAAGAAGGCCUUCGGGUUGUAAAGCACUUUUGUCCGGAAAGAAAUCAUCGGGGCCAAUACCCCUGGUGGAUGACGGUACCGGAAGAAUAAGCACCGGCUAACUACGUGCCAGCAGCCGCGGUAAUACGUAGGGUGCGAGCGUUAAUCGGAAUUACUGGGCGUAAAGCGUGCGCAGGCGGUGCUGUAAGACCGGUGUGAAAUCCCCGGGCUUAACCUGGGGACUGCAUUGGUGACUGCAGCGCUGGAGUAUGGCAGAGGGGGGUGGAAUUCCACGU
rnacentral:rRNA from 1 species